AGAUUAGAGGGCAGUCUGGCUGCAAAGUCUGUUAUCCCAUUGAUCACCAGGGUAGAUUCGGCUGAUGUGACUGGCUAGAGAGGUGUCCCUGUCCUUCCUCACUGUUCACGUGCAUCCCUCCCGAAGCUGCAUGCUUGGUCAAAGAGGAUCACCAUCCUCACUAGAGGAAGACCAUUCUUUGGUCAAGGGUAUACGAGUAGCUGCUCUCCCCUACUAGAACCCCAAACAAGCUCUCAAGGUCUGUUUGCAGUAUUUGAUGUGGAAGAGACUGCCUCCUUGUUAGUAGAUGAACUUAAGCCAAAUAGUUAUUUUUUGGGUAGU
rnacentral:snRNA from 1 species